rnacentral:rRNA from 1 species
AGUCACUGACAUUAGAUACCCGCGUAGUCCUAGCCGUAAACGAUACUCGCUAGGUGUCGGCCACGGUGCGACCGUUGUCGGUGCCGUAGGGAAGCCGUGAAGCGAGCCACCUGGGAAGUACGGCCGCAAGGCUGAAACUUAAAGGAAUUGGCGGGGGAGCACAACAACGGGUGGAGCUUGCGGUUUAAUUGGAUUCAACGCCGGAAAUCUUACCGGGACCGACAGCAACAUGAAGGCCAAGCUGAAGACUUUGCCGGAUUAGCUG